GCUGCAUUACAUCCACUUGUACAUCUUCUGUUAUUUGGAGGUCAUGUAGAUGAAGCGAUGAAAAUGGUCGAGGAGAUGUGCAAGAAGGUACAUGACAUAAAACCUUUCAGGAUUAAGGCCCUAAUGAUGGAGAAAUUUCGUCGUAACAGCGACAUGCUUGCAAAAUCCUAUGAAGAUAUCUUAAAGAUUGAUCCUAGUUGUGUAACUACCCUUAAGAAGCUUAUUGGAAUGUGCAUGGAAGAUGAGUAUAGUAAAG